GACGAACGCUGGCGGCGGGCUUAACACAUGCAAGUCGAGCGGAGCGGCGGACGGGUGAGUAACGCGUGAGUAACUGCCCCCCUCUCUGGGAUAACAGUUGGAAACGGCUGCUAAUACCGGAUAGUGGGGGAUGACUCGCGGCCUAUCAGCUUGUUGGUUGGGUAGUGGCCUACCAAGGCGACGACGGGUAGCCGGCCUGGGAGGGCGACCGGCCACAUUGGGCUGAGAUACGGCCCAAUCUCGUACGGGGGGCAGCGGGCGGGAGUCUUGCACAACGGGGGAAACCCUGAUGCAGCAGCGCCGCGUGCGGGAUUACGGCUUUCGGGUUGUAAACCGCUUUCAGCUAUGACGCGGUAGUGGCAGAAGAAGCACCGGCUAACUACGUGCCAGCAGCCGCGGUAAUUC
rnacentral:rRNA from 1 species